rnacentral:lncRNA from 1 species
AAAAGGGCUGGAAUUCACAGCAAGCUCAUGUGUCUAGGAUGAUGAAGUUCCUUCCAGGAAGAGAACUGGAUGUGACAUUGUUCCCAAGGAAUGAUCCAAGAGAAGCUAUGAGGUACUUUACCUAAGUACUAGUCCAAAAGACACCUGUGUGCCUAGACACCAUUGAGCUUUCCCAAACAGAAUGAGUGGUGGUCUCUGUGACCCCACCUGAGGGGUCACUGUCAUGAUUAUGGGCAUACCCAGUUCUGAAGGCAGCAGAGACCAUUGCAGGGGGGCUAGGUUUCAAAACUAGGAGAGAGUCAGCAGGGAUUCUUUUAAGGAUGAACCAAGCAAGUCUACAAAAGACACAAGGAUGUAUCCUGAAACCGAAAGUCCCAGGCAAAACCUUCAAACACAAGGAUUCUGGCAUCAGGAACCUCUUGAGUUGCUGUUUAUGGAAGUUCAAGAGGUUCCCCCAGACAAUAUAAGUGAUCUUGGAAACCAUAUACUUCUGCUGUUGGCUGUACCGUUCAGGCUGUCCUCUUCACUGUGCAGGAACCAUCCAAGGGACUGCAUGCCAAGGACUGGGGAAUCACUACAAGUCAUUUGAAGAUUCACUACCUUUUCUGAAGCUUGGAAGGAAAAACAUAAUGAAUAAGCCCACGAUGAUUUGGUGCUUUUAAUGUUUUGUGUUUGUUUGUUUGUCUUUUCAACCCUUCAUGUUGUGUUGACUUAUCCCAGGGCAUCAUCAUCAACCAAAGACCUACAAUAAACCAGCCAUCCUC